GGGCAGUGCGGCAGCCUACACAUGCAGUCGAACGGUAGCACAGAGAGCUUGCUCUCGGGUGACGAGUGGCGGACGGGUGAGUAAUGUCUGGGAAACUGCCUGAUGGAGGGGGAUAACUACUGGAAACGGUAGCUAAUACCGCAUAAUGUCGCAAGACCAAAGAGGGGGACCUUCGGGCCUCUUGCCAUCAGAUGUGCCCAGAUGGGAUUAGCUAGUAGGUGGGGUAACGGCUCACCUAGGCAACGAUCCCUAGCUGGUCUGAGAGGAUGACCAGCCACACUGGAACUGAGACACGGUCCAGACUCCUACGGGAGGCAGCAGUGGGGAAUAUUGCACAAUGGGCGCAAGCCUGAUGCAGCCAUGCCGCGUGUAUGAAGAAGGCCUUCGGGUUGUAAAGUA
rnacentral:rRNA from 1 species